GGUUCUAUAGUGUAGCGGUUAUCACUCCGGAUUCUGAAUUAAAUCUCUCUCGUGCCAUCCUUGUAACACCCAAGGGAAAAAAGUACGUAAGAGAAAUUCUUCCGGCAACCCCGGUUCGAGUCCGGGUAGGACCU